UACGGAGGGUGCAAGCGUUGCUCGGAAUUAUUGGGCGUAAAGGGCAGGUAGGUGGUCUUAUUUGUCCGGGGUGAAAUCCUUGAGCUUAACUCAAGAAGUGCCCCGGAGACGGUAAGACUAGAGUUUUGGAGAGGGUCGUGGAAUUCCCGGUGUAGCGGUGAAAUGCGUAGAGAUCGGGAGGAACACCAGAGGCGAAGGCGGCGACCUGGACAAUGACUGACACUCAACUGCGAAAGCGUGGGGAGCAAACAGG
rnacentral:rRNA from 1 species